rnacentral:tmRNA from 1 species
GGGGCUGACAUUAGCUUCGACAGAGUGAUCAUUGACAGGCAUAUCUCGCAAGCCGGGUUGAGAUGAACGUUAUCCGUCUCAUAUCAAUAAGUGUAAACUCACUUGUUAGCAAGGUACGCAGUGCUUUUGUAGCACCCGCUCUUGCACCAGCUUUCGCUUAAUUCGUGGAAGCCAUCCUGUAAGCUCAUACUAGCUAGAGCUUCAAUGGGUGUCAUAUCUUUGCUAGUUGCUUCAAGGCGUGUUCUGUGUCCGCGUUUUGACUAAGACUUUAGAUAUCGGGAAAGGCGUGAGGAUUGGUUCGUUUUUGUCUCGCUGUCUUUCUAAAACAAGUUAAGCGAACUAAGCUUGUAGUGAGUAUGCGUGGCACACACUGGACGAGGGUGCGAUUCCCUCCAGCUCCACCA